CGCGUGGGUAAUCUGCCUUCGGGUUUGGGACAACUCCGGGAAACUGGAGCUAAUACCGAAUAAGACCACGAGGUCCUCGGGCCUUGCGGAAAAAGGUGGCCUCUUCUUGAAAGCUAUCGCCUGUAGAUGAGCCCGCGUCCCAUUAGCUUGUUGGUGAGGUAACGGCUCACCAAGGCAUCGAUGGGUAGCUGGUCUGAGAGGAUGAUCAGCCACACUGGAACUGAGACACGGUCCAG
rnacentral:rRNA from 1 species